AGUGAUAUUUUUUGUAAUUAUUUGCAUGGAUAAGUUUUGUAUGACUCUGUCAUUCUAAGGACGGUUAUAUGGACCGAUCGUAAAUCGGUUCUUAGUGGCAAUCUCAUAAUUAUUUUUGGGAAAAAUGAAGACGGUCUUCUGCACCAGACCGUCGUUGUUUUCUUAACGCGCGCACCCUAGGUCGUACCUAUCUCCCAUUUACCAUCGUCUCUUCUUACUCCCCUCCCGAGUACUGCGUUAAGCAUUCCUUCUUACUACCCUCGCUCGUGUUGGGAAGGUUGUUUUGUGACCUAGAGAAGUCUCCUGCCUCAUUCGUCGCUACUCGGUGCGUGGGUAUCGCCAUAGAGGUACCUACAUGAACUUUGUUCAUCAUCUUUUCUUCAUAAGAAUAUAAAGUCAGCCUACAUAUUGGUUCAUACAGAUUUGAAUCCUCAUCUUUCUGACAGUGGAUUGACAAGGUUUUGAAGGCUGACUGUUGGGUUGGUAUUCAUAGUUUCUUAGUUGCCAAAGUCAGACUGCAAAGGGAAUCAGAGGGGACAACCACCAAGAAGUAGGAGCACUUACAAAGGACCAGUAGAACCAACGAGAAUACAGGCACGUGAGAGGCCAAGGAGUGCGGGUAGUAUGUCAAUAGACAUUAACAUUGAUGUACACACUCAUCCACGACAUUGGUCAAUUGGAUGAAAUAGAAAUUGUAGGGCUUGUGACAAUGGAUGUGACUAAGCAAGAUUCUAUUCCACAUGUAUCAGAUUCCUUUGGGACAUCAGGUCCUCAAUCCUCAGUAAGUGUAACAGAAAAGCUUAUCGUGGCCAUGCCAAGUGAUAUAUGGUCAGUGGUAUAUAUAUUAAACCCAUUAUAGUUAGCUGAAUUUGAAUGUAUUUCUUGUAAUUAGUUUUGCCUGAAUGGAACUCUGACCUUAUGUAAUCAAAAAGGGAAUGUGGUGCUCUUCCAAAACUUGGCAAUGCUCAUGCACUUUUCAACAAGGCUCUUUUUUGGCAAAAUGAAGGUAUGGGAUUCUCUAAAACUUCUUCUGUGGGCGGGCAAAUUUUAUGGAGUGCUGUCAACUUCUUCCUUUGGAAAAAGAGAAAUAAAGUUGUCUUCAAUAAUGCCGUGCCUGAUAGGAAUUGUGUUUUUACGGCCUGAUCCCUCCUUUCAAGUCUCUUUCGUCCAAUACUCAGGCUUCUCUGAGUUCUGACAGUGUUAUGUGGUUCUCAUGCAGCAAUUUUGCAUACAGUAGCUGGCCACUCUAUUUUUACACUGGCGGUGACAAGCUAUCAUCACUGUUAGUGUAGUGUAGUAGGAUAUCUUGGUGGGGAAUGUCGUUAUGGAGGAGGGGUACUAGGUAGUCAAUUAAGCUUGGUGGUUAUUUUAAUAUCAACAUAAAGUUACUUGUGGAUUUUCUUACAGAAUAAAAUUCGUAGGUAAUUUUCUGUGAAUUUUCUUGUUGAAUAAAAUCUUUAGGGAAUUUA